GACGAACGCUGGCGGCGUGCUUAACACAUGCAAGUCGAACGGAAAGGCCUGCUUUCCCUUGUGGAUUGCGGGUACUCGAGUGGCGAACGGGUGAGUAACACGUGAGUGAUCUGCCCCCAACUUGGGUAUAAGCCUGGGAAACUGGGUCUAAUUCCCGAUAGGACUGCAGGGUGGUGCCUGUGGUGGAAAACGAUUUUCUAGUGGUUGGGGAUGAGCUCGCGGCCUAUCAGCUUGUUGGUGGGGUAAUGGCCUACCAAGGCGGCGACGGGUAGCCGGCCUGAGAGGGUGGACGGCCACAUUGGGACUGAGAUACGGCCCAUACUCCUACGGGAGGCAGCAGUGGGGAAUAUUGCACAAUGGGCGGGAGCCUGAUGCAGCGACGCCGCGUGGGGGAUGACGGCCUUCGGGUUGUAAACUCCUUUCGACCGCGAGGAAGCCACCUGGUUGGAAGGGUGGUGACGGUAGUGGUAGAAGAAGCACCGGCUAACUACGUG
rnacentral:rRNA from 1 species